UACGAAGGGGGCUAGCGUUGUUCGGAAUUACUGGGCGUAAAGCGCGCGCAGGCGGCUCUCCAAGUCAGUGGUGAAAGCCCGGAGCUCAACUCCGGAACUGCCAUUGAAACUGGUCGGCUAGAGUACGAGAGAGGUGAGUGGAAUUCCCAGUGUAGAGGUGAAAUUCGUAGAUAUUCGCAAGAACAUCAGUGGCGAAGGCGGCUCACUGGCCCGGUACUGACGCUGAGGUGCGAAAGCGUGGGGAGCAAACAGG
rnacentral:rRNA from 1 species